UCUCCCUUCUAGCGAAGGAUCAGUUCUAUAGGCUCGUACCUCUGUAUCCUUGAAUUCUAAGGAGACAGGAACCUAAAACUAGUGGUUGAGACAUGGCCGUGUGACCAGGAUGUGAUUAACAACUCUGUUUAGUUCCUCUGGAUCCGAUCAAGCAGUAGAGGAUCAUUCCCAUGGUUGGCUUCCAAUCCUGAGGUGGUUGCACGAUUGUCAGACAGACU